rnacentral:rRNA from 1 species
CCUACGGGUGGCAGCAGUAGGGAAUAUUGCUCAAUGGGGGAAAGCCUGAAGCAGCAACGCCGCGUGGAGGAUGAAGGUCUUCGGAUUGUAAACCCCUUUUGUUAGAGAAGAAAAUGACAGUAUCUAACGAAUAAGCACCGGCCAAAUCCGGGCCAGCAGACGCGGUAAUACGGAGGGUGCAAGCGUUACUCGGAACCACUGGGGGUAAGGGGCGGGGAGGCGGGAUGGCAAGUCAGGUGUGAAAUCCCAGGGCUUAACCAUGGAACUGCAUUUGAAACUGUUAUUCUAGAGUGUGGGAGAGGUAGGUGGAAUUCUUGGUGUAGGGGUAAAAUCCGUAGAGAUCAAGAGGAAUACUCAUGGCGAAGGCGACCUGCUAGAACAUAACUGACGCUGAUGCGCGAAAGCGUGGGGAGCAAACAGGAUUAGAUACCCUUGUAGUC